rnacentral:rRNA from 1 species
UACGUAGGGGGCAAGCGUUGUCCGGAAUCAUUGGGCGUAAAGAGCGUGUAGGCGGCCCGGUAAGUCUGUUGUGAAAGUCGGGGGCUCAACCCUCAGAUGCCGGUGGAUACUGUCGGGCUUGAGUACGGAAGAGGCGAGUGGAAUUCCUGGUGUAGCGGUGAAAUGCGCAGAUAUCAGGAGGAACACCGAUGGCGAAGGCAGCUCGCUGGGACGGUACUGACGCUGAGACGCGAAAGCGUGGGGAGCAAACAGG